AGCUCCAUCGUCUAGUGGUCAUGGCGCUCUGCCACCAUAAAAGGACGGCGGCCUCUGGAGCCGUAAACGCCAGUUCGAAUCUGGCUGGAGCUA
rnacentral:tRNA from 3 species